AUUGAACGCUGGCGGCAUGCCUUACACAUGCAAGUCGAACGGCAGCACGGGAGCAAUCCUGGUGGCGAGUGGCGAACGGGUGAGUAAUACAUCGGAACGUGCCCAAUCAUGGGGAAUAACGCAGCGAAAGCUGUGCUAAUACCGCAUGAGAUCUACGGAUGAAAGCAGGGGACCGCAAGGCCUUGCGCGAAUGGAGCGGCCGAUGGCAGAUUAGGUAGUUGGUGAGGUAAAGGCUCACCAAGCCUGCGAUCUGUAGCUGGUCUGAGAGGACGACCAGCCACACUGGGACUGAGACACGGCCCAGACUCCUACGGGAGGCAGCAGUGGGGAAUUUUGGACAAUGGGCGCAAGCCUGAUCCAGCCAUGCCGCGUGCAGGAUGAAGGCCUUCGGGUUGUAAACUGCUUUUGUACGGAACGAAGAGGCUUUCUCUAAUAAAGGGGGCUCAUGACGGUACCGUAAGAAUAAGCACCGGCUAACUACGUGCCAGCAGCCGCGGUAAUACGUAGGGUGCAAGCGUUAAUCGGAAUUACUGGGCGUAAAGCGUGCGCAGGCGGUUAUGUAAGACAGGUGUGAAAUCCCCGGGCUUAACCUGGGAAUGGCAUUUGUGACUGCAUAGCUAGAGUGUGUCAGAGGGGGGUAGAAUUCCACGUGUAGCAGUGAAAUGCGUAGAGAUGUGGAGGAAUACCGAUGGCGAAAGCAGCCCCCUGGGAUAACACUGACGCUCAUGCACGAAAGCGUGGGGAGCAAACAGGAUUAGAUACCCUGGUAGUCCACGCCCUAAACGAUGUCUACUAGUUGUCGGGUCUUAAUUGACUUGGUAACGCAGCUAACGCGUGAAGUUGACCGCCUGGGGAGUACGGCCG
rnacentral:rRNA from 1 species